rnacentral:rRNA from 1 species
CAGGCCUAACACAUGCAAGUCGAGCGCGCCCUUCGGGGUGAGCGGCGGACGGGUUAGUAACGCGUGGGAAUAUACCCUUUUCUGCGGAAUAGCCUCUGGAAACGGAGAGUAAUACCGCAUACGCCCUUCGGGGGAAAGAUUUAUCGGGGAAGGAUUAGCCCGCGUUAGAUUAGGUAGUUGGUGGGGUAAUGGCCUACCAAGCCUACGAUCUAUAGCUGGUUUUAGAGGAUGAUCAGCAACACUGGGACUGAGACACGGCCCAGACUCCUACGGGAGGCAGCAGUGGGGAAUCUUGGACAAUGGGGGCAACCCUGACCCAGCCAUGCCGCGUGAGUGAUGAAGGCCUUAGGGUCGUAAAGCUCUUUCGCCUGUGAAGAUAAUGACGGUAGCAGGUAAAGAAACCCCGGCUAACUCCGUGCCAGCAGCCGCGGUAAUACGGAGGGGGUUAGCGUUGUUCGGAAUUACUGGGCGUAAAGCGCACGUAGGCGGACUGGAAAGUUGGGGGUGAAAUCCCAGGGCUCAACCCUGGAACUGCCUCCAAAACUAUCAGUCUAGAGUUCGAGAGAGGUGAGUGGAAUUCCGAGUGUAGA